rnacentral:sRNA from 1 species
CGCCGGAAUCCCAGCUCCACUUACCAGGCCGCGGCUACCCCGUCGCCCCCGCCACUCCCGCCACCCCGCUCUCCCAGGCUCUUCAGGAUCCAAGUUUGUAGGCCCUUUAAGGGGUCUAGUUGCCCUUUGCGGGGCCCUGGGACUUUGGUCCCAGACAGGGGGGAUCCGGAUGGCUUCCGUGCGGAUCCGAGAGGCCAAGGAGGGAGACUGUGGGGAUAUCCUGAGGUUGAUUCGGGUGAAGACUGUGGGCCGGAAACCAGGGGGUCAGAGUGGCGCGGCCAGGACGGGGACGCAGGAGGCGGGGGCAGGGGAGGGGCUCGCCUUGGGACCCCGCUCGGGGAGCAGCGGGGCCCUUCUGCUCUAAUCUAGCUUCCGUACCCACGCCUUAGGAACUAGCCGAGUUCGAAAAACUCUCGGAUCAGGUGAAGAUCAGUGAGGAAGCCCUGAGAGCAGAUGGCUUUGGAGAGAAUCCUUUCUAUCACUGUUUGGUAGCAGAGAUUCUUCCAGCGCCCGGGGAGCUACUGGGUAAGAGCACCUGGUCCUUAGAAGUCCACCUCUCCAGCCGGCCUCAGAGGUCUCCCCACAGGCUCCCAGAAGCCUUACUCCCCUUUUCUCACUCUCAGGGCCCUGCGUGGUGGGCUAUGGGAUAUACUAUUUCAUCUACAGUACAUGGAAGGGACGCACCAUUUAUCUGGAGGAUAUCUAUGUG